AGAAAAUGGUUGAUAAGUCUAUAGCUGCUACAACAGCUUCAACUAGGGGUAAUGUAAUUGAAGAACUGGACAGUUACAUGAAGCAGCCAACACUCGAUUUAGGGACAGACCCGAUUGAAUUCUGGUUAAAAGAUGUAAAUUACCCACAUCUGAAGAAGGCAGCACUGAAAAAUCUUAUAAUACCCCUUGGAUCUGUGUGCUCAGAGAGAUUGUUUUCAUCAGCAGGAAACAUUCUCCAAGAGAAGCGCAACAGGAUGUUGCCUGAGAACUUAAGAAAGCUUGUUUUUUUAAAUUCAAAUUUGCCAGUGUUGAAUUAUGACUACUAAAUGUCAACUGCGUGUUUCACAUGAUAUAUUUACUUUUAAGAAUAAAAAUAAAUAAUAUAAGCCUG